UACAGAGGGGGCAAGCGUUAUUCGGAAUUAUUGGGCGUAAAGGGCGCGUAGGCGGCCUUGCAAGUGACGGGUGAAAUCCCCCGGCUUAACCGGGGAACUGCCUGUCAGACUGCUCGGCUUGAGACCGGGAGAGGUGAGUGGAAUUCCCAGUGUAGCGGUGAAAUGCGUAGAUAUUGGGAGGAACACCAGUGGCGAAGGCGGCUCACUGGACCGGUACUGACGCUGAUGCGCGAAAGCGUGGGGAGCAAACAGG
rnacentral:rRNA from 1 species